rnacentral:rRNA from 1 species
AGAUUGAACGCUGGCGGCAGGCCUAACACAUGCAAGUCGAGCGGCAGCACGGGUACUUGUACCUGGUGGCGAGCGGCGGACGGGUGAGUAAUGCCUAGGAAUCUGCCUGGUAGUGGGGGAUAACGCUCGGAAACGGACGCUAAUACCGCAUACGUCCUACGGGAGAAAGCAGGGGGACCUUCGGGCCUUGCGCUAUCAGAUGAGCCCAGGUCGGAUUAGCUAGUUGGUGAGUAAUGGCUCACCAAGGCGACGAUCCGUAACUGGUCUGAGAGGAUGAUCAGUCACACUGGAACUGAGACACGGUCCAGACUCCUACGGGAGGCAGCAGUGGGGAAUAUUGGACAAUGGGCGAAAGCC